CCAUUGUCCAGAGCUCUCUGACCAGGAGCUCUGUAGUAGCAUCACUUAGUCAGCAAGACAGAGAUCACCCUGAGGACCUCAGGAAAGAUAGUACAGAACUCUGACUUACAGGCUUGUCCAGCUGAAAAUGCUUAGAGGCCCAGGGAUCGACAGAUACGUAGGUGCUAUAGGAACCACGUUUUCUGUUUAGGGAAUUUACGUUUCACGGCAUCUCCGUCUUUAGACACAGGUCACUCCCAAAGUGAGCAUCCGUCUCUUUAUUUGCGUGUUUGCGUCUCAGAAGCACUCCGUUCUUUUGAGAGCCCCUGCUUUCCCUCAGAGGCCGGAGGCGUUUCAUACACAGCAACAACCACUUCACCUCUGAGUGGCCCACUCAGGUUGGCCCGUUUGUUUGUUUGUUGCUGUUUUCUGAGAGACAAUGGCAAUGUUAUGCUUCUUGAAGCUGUCUCUAUGUGCUUUUCUGAUGGUCCUUCAGCCCUCCUUGCUUGAUGUCACCCUUGUUCAAGCUGCUGAGCCACAGCUUCUUGAGAUUUGGCUCUCGUCCACGCUCCUGCAAUGUGAAGCCUCCGAUGGUGAGCUGCAGCGAGCAGAGCUGUGCUGUGCACUGGCUGUGCUCCAGGCUUCAGCUGCUGAUAAAUCUGCCCUGGCAUUUGAUGUAGGCAGCUGGGAUUAGGAAGAGAAGUGCGAACAUCCUGCUCCACCUUGGAAGAAGGUUCUGUUUGAGAAAUGGACACAGCAGCCUGCACUGGACUUACCACCUUUGGACUCCAUGAGGGAGGUGGGAGGGACUUGACUCAAGUGCUACAGACUCCUGCAUUUGUUACAGAAUUUAUAGAGAACCGUUACAGAGAACUUCUCCGGGUAAAAUCCAACUGCAUCUUGCAGCUUUUGCUGACUUGUAGUGCUGAUUCAUGUUGCUGUUUGGUGUUGGCCUUUGGACUCCACUGCUGGUAUCCUGAAGACUGAGUUCGGUAAUCCCUUACAGACUCAUCAGGAAGUAGAUAAAAGAAGUCUACAGCCCCUUUCCUAACUAAAGUCCUAUCUAAGAUUGGGGACAGAAAGUUAAAAGGGAGGUUAAAGUAUUGAAGAACCUUAAAUAAAGUAGGUUUGAUGAAAAAAUGAUUACAAAAAAAAACUGUAUUGAAAAAACAAUUAUAAUAUUUAAAUAUUCUGGGAUAUAAUAGUAUAUAGAUUUAACAUAUUAAAUUAUAAUAUAUAUUUUUACAUCUUAGAGUUUUAUUUCUAGAAAAGACACCAUGACCAAAGAAACUUAUAGAAGAAAGCAUUUAUUUGGUGGCUUACUUAGAGUUUUAGAGGGUUAGUCUAUGACCAUCAUGACAGGAAGCAGCCAGGCAUGGCGUUGGUGCAGGAGCUUAGAGUCUUCCAUCCUUUUCCAAAGGCAAUGGGGGAGAGAGAGAGAGAGAGAGAGAGAGAGAGAGAGAGAGAGAGAGAGAGGAUGAGAGAGAGAGAACAAGGGAGAGAGAGAGACACACAGAGAGAGACAGAGCGAGAACAAGGGAGAGAGAGACAGAGAAAGAGAGAGGAGGUACCAGGCCUAGUAUGGGAUUUUGAAACCUCAGAGCCCAAUUCCAGUGACAUGUUCUCCAAAAAGUCUACCCUAGCUCCAACAAGGCCACACCUCCUAAUCCUUCCCAAACAGUUCAACUAACUGGCAACUAAGCAUUCAAAUAUAUGAGCCUGUGGAGGCCACUAUCAUUCAAACCACUACCCUAUGAUUUUAACAGUAAGUAUACCUUAAAAUAGAGCCAAGCACAAAUGAAGCACACAUCUUGGAAUAUGUAAUUAUAAUAAUAAUAACAACAUGGUCUGGAAAUACCUGUGACUGCUACUGGCGAACAUUCGUGGAAAUGAAUUCUAUUGUAGUUUGUGGCUUAUGCUCAAAAUUCCAGCGUAUGAUGACCCUCAGUUAGAGUUGGUGAAAAUCAAACCAAGAGUGAGCAGUCUGAACUUCUGGAACCCACGCACAUCAUCCAUACCAUUGUUUGGGGUCUGUGAACCCAGGUCUGGACAUGAGCCUGGCAUGGCAGAGUAUUCUUCUGCUUCAGUGCACACGCUCUGUGACCUCAGGGACAGCUUCGAGUUUUCUUUUCAAUGCACCUGGGGACAAACCCAGUCCUCUGCAGCCUGAAUGUCACCUGGGGAGCAAUGACCUCUGUGGACAGUUUUUUCACUUUUCUACAGUUUGGAUGAACCAAAAGCAGGGACAAGGGUUUGGUAAAAGAUACGCCAUUCCCACUGGAGCAACAAGAAAGGGUCCAGUGACUUAAAAAAAAUGAUAGUGCUGAUUUGGGAACAUACAAAUGUGGAUUCUUAAACUGUAAGUACCAGGUGACACAAACCCAACAAGAUUUCCAUUCAAUAAUUAUUUAAAUAAUUGCCUUCACCAACAAAGUCAACUAACCAGAGCCCAGGGGAACAUAUGGAAACUGAAACACCAAUCAAGGACCAUGCAUGGACAGGACCUAGGUACCCUACACAGAUGUAGCCUAUGAGCAGCUUAGUCCUCAUGUGGGACUAAGUAAGUGGAGCUGGGGCUGUCUCUGACUCUGUUGCCUGCUUUUCUCCUUUGGUGAGGCUGCCUUGCCCAGCCUCAUUGGAAGAGGAUGCACUCAGUCCUGAUGUGACUUGAUGUGCUUGGGUGGGUUGUCAGGGGGACUCUCCAGUGCUCCCCUUUUCUGAGGAAUAAGGGAGGGUGAUGUGAGAAGAGGUAGAGAGGGAGGGACCAGAAGGAAAAGAAGGAGGGGCCUACCAUUGAAAUGUAAAAUGACUAUAAAUAAAUAAAUAUAAUAAUUAAAAUAUCAUAAAAAUAAAUAAUUGCCAUCUACAAUUUUAGUCUAUUGAAUAUUUCUGUGUGAAAAUAUUUUGCUCUUAAAAACUGACUGUAAAUUACCAGCAAAGUCCCUUUAAGGAGGGUCUUUUAUUUGAAUAAAUUCAGAUGUGGCUUCUGCUGCUGAAUGUAAAUAUUUCUAUGAUAACUCAGUCAAUUAUGUUAUGUUGCAUAAUUGGUGUUCUUGUGGGACUCCUAAGAGUAAGAGCUGGGGGUACCUCUGACUCU